UGGGGAAUAUUGGGCAAUGGGCGAAAGCCUGACCCAGCAAUGCCGCGUGGGUGAAGAAGGUCUUCGGAUUGUAAAGCCCUUUCGGCGGGGACGAUGAUGACGGUACCCGCAGAAGAAGCCCCGGCUAACUUCGUGCCAGCAGCCGCGGUAAUACGAAGGGGGCUAGCGUUGCUCGGAAUUACUGGGCGUAAAGGGCGCGUAGGCGGCGCAUCGAGUCAGGCGUGAAAUUCCUGGGCUCAACCUGGGGGCUGCGCUUGAGACUGGUGUGCUUGAGGACGGAAGAGGCUCGUGGAAUUCCCAGUGUAGAGGUGAAAUUCGUAGAUAUUGGGAAGAACACCGGUGGCGAAGGCGGCGAGCUGGUCCGUAACUGACGCUGAGGCGCGACAGCGUGGGGAGCAAACAGGAUUAGAUACCCUGGUAGUCCACGCCGUAAACGAUGUGCGCUGGAUGUUGGGACCCCUAGGGUCUCAGUGUCGUAGCCAACGCGGUAAGCGCACCGCCUGGGGAGUACGGCCGCAA
rnacentral:rRNA from 1 species